GAUAAACGCUGGCGGCGUGCAUGAGACAUGCAAGUCGAACGAAGGAUCGGGCUUGCUCGAUCCUUAGUGGCGGACGGCUGAGUAACGCGUAGGUGACCUACCCCGAAGUGGGGAAUAACUGCCCGAAAGGGUGGCUAAUACCGCAUGUGGUCGCACGUUCAUUCGUGCGAGUAAAGCCGCAAGGCGCUUCGGGAGGGGCCUGCGUCCGAUUAGCUCGUUGGUGGGGUAAUGGCUUACCAAGGCGACGAUCGGUAGGUGGUCUGAGAGGACGAUCACCCAGACUGGGACUGAGACACGGCCCAGACUCCUACGGGAGGCAGCAGUCGGGAAUUUUGCUCAAUGGGGGAAAGCCUGAAGCAGCAACGCCGCGUGAGGGAUGAAGGCCUUCGGGUUGUAAACCUCUUUUGUCAGGGACGAUGAUGACGGUACCUGGAGAAUAAGCCACGGCUAACUACGUG
rnacentral:rRNA from 1 species